CAACGUAUGCUCCCACAAUUUGAGCCCUAUCCUUUCACGUGCUUAAUUAGAUUUCAAAUUCGAGCCCAUUUCCAGCUGAACCGAAGCACGCAGUCGCCGUCGCAGCGGCUGCCUCCACAUCUCCAGCCCCCAACCUCCAAAAUGGCUUCGACCGCCGAGGCGGCGGCGAUAGGCUAUGCGGCCCCCCGAAACUCCGUCCAGCCUGGGUUUUCCGGCGAGCUGCUCCGCUCGGCUGCCGUCCUCGUUGAUAAAUCGGGGGAUCCUGAUGGGCCCUUUUGUGGCAUCUGUAUAUAUCACUUCUAAACACAUGAUUUUUAAGCGAUGCUAGAGAAAGAAAUUAGAAGGCCCUUUGUCCAAGAAUAAUUUUUGGAAGAAGACCAUGAUCAAUCAAAUUAUCAGGUGAUGCAACAGGUAUGUUCGCACUUGUGCAAUGAAUUAGAUCCAUUCCUUUUCCUUUCCAGUCACUGCUCCGUAUGGUAACCUUCAAUGUCGGUGAAGGAUUAGUGGUAACACUGACACUAACAAUUACAACAGUUUUGGUUCAUGGAGUAUGUACCUAGUUUUUGUUUAUGAUAUGAAAAACUUAAAAGAACCCUCGCAAUAUAAACAGAAAUCUAAAUUCGCAUCGACAGAAUUGAACUCAGAUAGUGGGUUUGUACAUUUAAGUCCCCAAAACCAAGUGAGAUUGGUUCCUUGAGUUUAGUUUUUCGUGAAUUGUGACAAUGCAUCCAUAACAGGGGAAUCGGCUACAGUACGUUAAGGCUCCAAGGUUAGUCUGGUAGGGGACUGCAAGAUGGCUUUGGUAGGAAACAGAAAUGCAGUUAGUUAAAGGAACCCGUAGGUAAAUAUUCUAAAAACUAAAGAGGACAGUACUGGCAUCAAGUAAUAACUGAGAAAUUCGGUGCUACAAGUCAUAAUGCUUACGAUCUUGAUCUUGAGAUCCACAACCACCUUCCGGAGGAUCCCUAGAGUGUUUCUGCAAAUUCAGGUACCUGUCCAUAUCAAAACUAAGCUUUGCACAUAGCUUUCUCCUCCUUGCCAAGAACAGCCUACGCUUGAAGUCCUGUAACGUCGGAUUACUUGCGGUACGCAGGAAAUAGCCGUAGCAGAAAAUCAGCUGGAGUCCGGCCAAGAAGUAGGCGAGCGGCUCCAUGAUACUCCAAGAGAACUCCCAGAACGUAAGGUGGAAGAAGAGGGCAAACUGGAGUAUGAAUGACGCGAAGCCAACACAUAGAAUCCGCACGGCGUGCCUGCGCGCCUUGUCGUCGAUCUCUUGCAUCUUCAUCUGGAGUUGUCUGAACUCUUCUUUCCUCGCGUCACCCUCUGGGGCGAGUGCAAAUGGCACGGCCCUUCUGAUCAGGUCUUUCCCCUGACGAGCAGCACCAAGCUCAUCUCGUCCAUCUUCUGCACGAGUGCCUCCGCCUCCGUGGGCGUGAGGCCGCUCUCCAUCAACGCACCGAGAGGCUCGCCAUGGCUGAUCACCCCGUCCUGCAUCCGUCGCUCGAUUUCUCCAAAGAUCGCUUUGGUAGCAGCUGUUGACCAGUCGGUAUAAAAUUUGGUGUUAAAAGAAGGUCAGCAAACAACUGAGAAAUUUGCUGGUGGCCGGUGCUAUACUUAUGAAUGAAGCUUACUACCUUGAGAACAAUCACCUCCCAGAGGACACCUCAUGUGCCUCUCCAUUUCCAGGUUCGAUAUGACAGGUUGCGCGAGGUGAUGAGGAAAUAGGCGUAGCCGGAAAGCAGGUGGGCGCCAGCCACGAAGAAGGUGAUCGGCGCUACAACGUCCCACGUGAACUCCCAGAAUGUGAAACGGAAGCAAAGGCCGACCGUGGCUUGCACGAACCAGAAGCCUGACCACAGGAUUCGCCUCACUUGCUUGCACGCCUGCCGGUCGAUCUCUCCUUUCUUUUUCUUCAGUAGCUCAAACUCUUCCCUUCUCG